rnacentral:rRNA from 1 species
UACGUAGGAGGCGAGCGUUGUCCGGAAUUACUGGGCGUAAAGAGCGCGUAGGCGGCGCGGUACGACCGCUGUGAAAGCCCCCAGCUCAACUGGGGAGGGUCAGCGGUAACGGCCGUGCUAUGAGUGCAGGAGAGGGAAGUGGAACUCCGGAAGUAGCGGUGAAAUGCGUAGAGACCAGGAGGAACACCAGUGGCGAAGGCGGCUUCCUGGUCUGCGACUGACGCUGUGGCGCGAAAGCUAGGGGAGCAAACGGG